ACAAAUCUGAAGAGAGAGUAGGGAUGGCGGAAGCUGUGUGGUGACUGGUGAGCUCAGCUACCAUGGCGGCGCAAUCUCUGUUUUCGCUGUCACCGAGAAUCACAACACCAUAUUCUUCCUCGCCGACCAAAAUCACAUCGGCUGCCUGCUCCACUUCUGAACUCUCGCUCUCACUCCCUCUCUCUCUCCUUCCCUUGCCGCUCCACUGUACCUGGUAACCUGGCUUUCAGAUUCAACUCCAGCCCCUCUAGGAUCGCCUCCGUCCGCUGCGCGUUGUCUCCUGAGCUGAAGACUACGCUGGAUAAAGUUGUUACGUCGCAGA
rnacentral:misc_RNA from 1 species